rnacentral:siRNA from 1 species
ACGUAAGAGAACGAACCCAAAUA